rnacentral:antisense_RNA from 1 species
AAAAGCAACGACGAUGGCUGGCAGCUGAGGGAGAGACCAGCAUCCCCAGAACUCCCUUUUGGUCCUUGUCCAGACUUCAAGGUCUCCAUGGACCACUUUGAGCCAUAUAGGUCUGCCAGUCAGUGGCCUCUGCACCCACGUCCGAAGCAGGAGAAAUCCAAAGAGCCCUUGGCCUCUGGAGGCGGCAGCAGGAGUGCUCUCCGAAAAGAGACUGGGCCAGCCGGUGGGAGCCCAGCGCCCACCCACCGCUCAUCCUACAGCAGGACCAACCCCCCGCCACCCCCCAGCCUCUGGAUCCUCUCUCCAGGCCUUGGAGGAGGCUGCAGACCGGUGUCUUUAGACAAAGCUUCCGGUGCCUUCACUCCCCCUGCUCACCAGGUUCAGCAGCGGAUGAAGAGCAGAGAGCAGAAUGAAGCCAGCUUCUCCCAGUCCUAGAGAACAGGCCCACCCUCCAGACAGAAGAUGCACAGCUGCUAAGAGAUUCUUGACUGCCUGCCUUCAAGUAUUUUGAUUCCAAAUAGGCUCAGUCUCCCCUGCUGGCUGAGCCUUUCCAAUCGUGGGCUCCCGUGGGCAGGAGGCUCUGGGCUGCAUGGCCAAGGCUCUCUCUGUUCCUCUUAGUUCAACUCUCCUUCCCUGGCCGUCUCCCUUUCCUUCCUUCCCCCAGGCUGAAGCCCUCCCCACUCCUCCCCUGGGGCAGGGCCACUUUCCCACCCUCCUCAACCAGAUGGAGCCUCUCACUUUCCCAGGAGAAUCCAGGCUACACUCCAAAGACCGAGGCAGGAUGUUCCCAGACAUCGUUCUGCAUUUAUACCCAAAGGGCUCAAUUCACUUCAGGUCAUUGAGACCACACAGAAAAUGAGGCUUCUGCUAUUUUCAUUAUUUUGAUUAUUAUUAUUAUUCACUAACAUUUCUAUUAGCACUUUCCAGUUUGCAAAAUACUUUUGUGUGUCAUCUGCACAGCAUCUUGUGAGAUAAUAUCAUCCCUCAUCUUUUUUUUUUUUUUUUUUUGAGACGGAGUCUCGCUCUGUUGCCCAGGCUGGAGUGCAGUGGCGCGAUCUCGGCUCACUGCAAGCUCCGCCUCUCGGGUUCACGCCAUUCUCCUGCCUCAGCCUCCCGAGUAGCUGGGACUACAGGCGCCUGCCACCACCAUGCCCAGCUAAUUUUUUUUUGCAUUUUUAGUAGAGAUGGGGUUUCACCAUGUUAGCCAGGAUGGUCUCGAUCUCCUGACCUCGUGAUCCGCCCGCCUCGGCCUCCCAAAGUGAUGGGAUUACAGGCGUGAGCCACCGCGCCCGGCCCCCAUCUUAUAAAUAGGCAGGCUGAGGCUCAGAGUGGGAGUGACUUGCCCAAGGUUACGCUUACACAGUUACACUGGCUCCCUGGACUACAUACUUUCCACUUUACCCAACAAUAACCCUUUCCAGAAAAAUCAGGCUGGAGGAAGCAGGAGAGACACUUAAGAAUGUAUGGGCCCCAUAGGCAUCAGUUGCAAUUACUACUUGAGUUACUUGACUGUUUUCAUUCCCCAGGCAGGGAAACUGAGGCACAGGGAUAGGACUCAACCUAGGACCAAGUCUCAUGGAGAAAGAAGGAAAGAGGAGCCCAUCCAAAAAAGGGGUUCCUCAGUUCCUUAGCUGCAAAUUCUGCUUCCGGCCCUAGCGCUACCAUUUCUUUUUGUAUUACUUAGGCAGGUUAUUUGACAUCUCUGAGCCUCAAUUUUCUCACCUAUAAAAUGGGAGAAUCCCUGCCCCAUGUCUGUCACUGGGCUGCUGUGAUGGGAGGUCAGCAGAUGCUGGCAGAAGAGAAGGGACAGGACCCUUCAUUCCCUCUCUGCUCUGUCUAGGAGGCAGGAGAAAUUCUUUCCUCUUAAAUUUUAACUGGAUGGAACUUAAUGGUGCAAAAGUCCAGGAUACAGGAAAGCCAGGAGGAGAACGGAAGUGAUUCGCUCCACUGGCUGGGAAAGCAAGGGACACAGAGUCAGCCACAGACCCCCAAGGUCACUGCAGGGCAGAGAUUCAACCAAACACUUCAGGCAGGGCCCCUCCUAUCUCCCUUUUAUCUUUCAAAGGAGGAAACCAAGGUUCUAAGCAAAGCAGUGACUUGCCAAGGUCACCCACAAGUAGUCAGUGGUCUCCUGACUCCCAGCCACCAGGGCCCUUGACUACUGGACAAGCGGGGUGGGGUGGGGAGCACUCCCAGCCCAAGGACUUAAUCUUUCAUUCAGCAAGCAGUAAUGCUCACACCAAGCCAGGCCCUGGACACUGGGGAAGGCUGGAGGAAUUGAAUACAGCCUCUGCCCUUGAAUUCACAAUCAAUCUAGUGGAGGCACGUACCCCAGCACAUCAGAGGAUACUAGAAGAUGAAGCACCACCAUUUUCUGAGCACUUCCUCUGUGCCUGGCACUGGACACACAUUCAUUUGUUUAAUCCUCAAAGCAAUUCUCUGGCACUGAAAUUAUUAAUCCCUUUCACAGCUGAAGUAACUGAGGCUCAGAAGGGUUAGCAACCCCAAAGUUCAUCCAGCUAAUAAAUGGCAGGGUCGGAAUAUGACUGACAGGUAUGUCUGGUGCCAAACUCUGAGCUUCAACCCUUAUAAACUCCCUGUUUUUAGGUCUGUGCUAACCAAUAUGGUAGCUACUAGCCAUGGCUAGUUGCUAUGGAGCACUUGAAAUGUGGCUUGUUCAAAUAAAAAUGUGCUGUAAAUAU